CUGGGGCUGGAGCCGCACUGUAGCUAACAAGCUUUCUCUUCUGUGCGGAAGAAGCUUCAUUAACUGAGCUGCCACUGCUCCUUGUGUAGGAAAAGGCUCUCUGUGGUUUAUUUAUAUGAUGAUGAAGGUGCUAACAAUGCCACGUGGUCACGUCAACGUUUCCCUACUUUCCAUUGGUCACAAGUGAGGAAAGCUCCUUGCACUGAGCGCUCUGCCUCAGAGUGUCAGUAUGUCAGGCUCUCCGUCGCUCUGGCAAAAUACCUGAAGAGAGCACCCUAAGUGAGCACGGGUUUCUUUUGGUUCCUGCUUUUGGAGCCUCAGUCCUCGGCCAUUCAGCUCCGUUGUUUCCGGCUUGAUGGGGAGGCAAUCACAUCCUUGCAAGGGAUUGGAAAAAAGUUGGUUCCAACCUGGAAGCUUCUAUUGUGAUCCUAGAGGAGAAAAGUGUCCAGUCAUCUUACCCAGCAGCUGUGAACCCCAACAUGUACAACAUCACUCUCCGCUGGACCUGAAGCUCACUGAUUACACUACACUAGCUGAAAUGGCUCAGUGAGUACGGAC
ensembl:lncRNA